rnacentral:tRNA from 1 species
GCCUGUAUAGCUCAGUGGCAGAGCGACUGCCUUGUAAGCAGUAGGUCGGGGGUUCAAAUCCCUCUACAGGCU